rnacentral:lncRNA from 10 species
UCUGCUGUGGAGGUGAAAUCACUGCAGGCUGUCUCUUUCAAUCUGCGUUAUCUAUCAGCAGUCAUAGCUUUGUGUGAGAGUUCCUGACUUAAUCCCUCACCACAUGGCUUCUAAUACUGAAACUCCGUAACACACAGAUUUCUGGACUGUCAGUGGCUCCAAAAGACUUCACAGAGAAAAUAUAUGAGAAAGAUCAGGACUGUUUAAGGAAAAAGAUAUUCU